AUUGAACGCUGGCGGCAGGCCUAACACAUGCAAGUCGAACGAGUGGCGGACGGGUGAGUAAUGUCUGGGAAACUGCCUGAUGGAGGGGGAUAACUACUGGAAACGGUAGCUAAUACCGCAUACCCUCGGAUGUGCCCAGAUGGGCUUAGCUAGUAGGUGGGGUAACGGCUCACCUGGGCGACGAUCCCUAGCUGGGUUGAGAGGAUGACCAGCCACACUGGAACUGAGACACGGUCCAUACUCCAACGGGAGGCAGCAGUGGGGAAUAGUGCACAAUGGGCGCAAGCCUGAUGCAGCCAUGCCGCGUGUAUGAAGAGGGCCUUCGGGUUGUAAAGUACUUUCAGCGGGGAGGCGUUACCCGCAGAGGAAGCACCGGCUAACUCCGUGCCAGCCGCCGCGGUAAUUC
rnacentral:rRNA from 1 species